ACAACCCUCUUAAAGAGGAACCCGUUGAUAAUAGCCCCUCAAAGCCAGCAGCUGCUACAACAUCAGCUCGGGGAACCCCAUCUUCAAAUAAGUCGGCUAAGGGAAAGCGAAAAAGCACCGAGAGAACAAACCGUCAAAUGGUGCCGCCACAGCUUAAAAGAAAGUCAAAACCGAAAAUGACGUGAAACAUGUAAAGGAGGAGCCUGCAAAGGCCGGUAAAGGUUCAUCAAUGUGGCCAUGAGCAUCAACCCUGAAGCGAAAAUGUAUUCAUUCCCAUCAUCAUGUGUUGGGGGAGUAGGACGAAUUGGAGCACCAAGUAGAAGAGAAGUUGGUCACUGUACACUAGCAGAACGAGCCCUAAAAUAUAGUAUAGCUGAUGAUAUUACUGAAAUUUAAUGAUGCAGGUUGCUGGCAAUGAAG